AAAUCUCAACCUUCUUGGUUUCUUUUGAACGCCAAGGAGGCUUGGACUUUGGAGGGCUUUGCUGGACUUGAAAGGUCAGCUCCUCUCAAAUGAAUUAGCGAGGUCCCCUUUGCCGAUCCUCGACGUGUGAUAAGAUGCUUCCACGUCUCGGUCUUUGGCUCUGUCGCCUCUUGGGACCUGCUUCCAAUCGUCUCUCGACGAGACAACGUUCGAGCACGCCUCGACCACGUAC
rnacentral:misc_RNA from 1 species